UUGACCUCGAUCAGGUAGGCAACCAAA
rnacentral:rRNA from 1 species